AUACUGCUGGUCUGGAGGGUGUCAGAGGCGUGUGGAAUUCCGCGUGUAGUGGUGAAAUGCGUAGAUAUGCGGAGGAACACCAGUGGCGAAGGCGGCACGCUGGGACACACCUGACGGUGAGGGACGAAAGCCAGGGGAGCGAACCGGAUUAGAUACCCGGGUAGUCCUGGCCGUAAACGAUGCGCACUAGGUGAUGGUGCGGCUAUGAGCCGCAUCAGUGUCGUAGGGAAACCGUUAAGUGUGCCGCCUGGGAAGUACGGUCGCAAGGCUUAAACUUAAAGGAAUUGGCGGGGGAGCACCACAAGGGGUGAAGCCUGCGGUUCAAUUGGACUCAACGCCGGGCAACUUACCAGGGGAGACAGCAGAAUGAGGGUCAGGUUGACGACCUUACCUGACAAGCUGAGAGGAGGUGCAUGGCCGUCGCCAGUUCGUGCUGUGAGGUAUCCUGUUAAGUCAGGCAACGAACGAGACCCGCACCUUUAUUUGCCAGCAAGAAGUCACGACUUCGUUGGGAACGAUAAAGGGACCGCCGUCGAUAAGACGGAGGAGGGAGCGGGCAAAGGCAGGUCAGUAUGCCCCGAAACCCCUGGGCCACACGCGGGCUGCAAUGGUGCGAACAAUGGGCUGUGACUCCGAAAGGAGAAACCAAUCCCGAAAUCGCAUCUCAGUGGGGAUUGUCGACUGUAACUCGUUGACAU
rnacentral:rRNA from 1 species